ACCGCGUCGCGAAGACGCGGGGUGGGCCGGGCCUCUGUUACCAAGGGUCCGCGCACCCCGCGAGGCGGAGCCGCGAGCAGGGCCCGGCCAUUCACUGCUUCCCUGUGGACAGCGAUUUCUCCAGCACUCAUGCUGUGACCUCUUCGGCUGACCAGCACCUAGAGACAGAGCCAGCUCUGUGAGAAUGUUCAGUAGAAUGGUUCCUGUCCAGCCCAGAACUGUGGUCAGAUGCCAGUGGCCACUCACAAGGCCAUUGCUUUAGUGAAUCUUCUUUACAGAUGUGUAUUGAGUGACUGUAUGAAGUUAGUACAUGCUGAGAGUCAAGAGGGUUUCCUGGAUGUCUCCUUCCCCUUCCAGGAUUGAAAACUAAGCUGCAUAAUGAAUAUGAGAAAUGGUGAGAAAAGAAAUCAACCAUAAUUUUCUUUCUUUUAUGCUACAAAUGGUCUUUUUGUGAAGUGUAUCUAUCAAAAAAAUACUCCUUAUCUAGGCUUGCACAAUUUUGUUGAUUAUAUUAUUGUAAUAUUCUAUUUAAAUAUUAAUUCACUUUGAUGCCCUCACUAUUUGGAAGAGGGGUGUAUUUGAGGAAAUUGUAAUUAAAGAACAUGAAUAUAAUAUAUUUCUUGUACUAAAGGCCUUCUUCUUUUUUUUUUUUUUUGGUGCGGAGGAUUGAACUCAGGGGUGCUUAACCACUGAGUCAUACUCCCAGCGCUUUUUUAUAUUUUUAUAUUUAUAGAUAGUGUCUCACUGAGUUGCACUAGAACUUCUGGGAUUACAGGUGUGCGCCACUGUGCCUGACACAUCCCCACCCCUGUUUAUGUUUUAUUUUGAGGUAGGGUCUCACUAAGUUGCUGAGGCUGGCUUUGAACUAGCGAUCCUCCUGCCUCAGCCUUCAGGGAUUACAGGUGCCAUCUGUUAUUUUUCUCUCCAUCUAUUUGUCUUUAGUUUGUAUAAUGUUGAGCACUUACUACGUUGUUGGCCUGGGUUGGGGUCCACAUGCUUUUUUUUUGCUUACCUUCACAACCUGCCUGUGUAAAAGGAGUUGCUUUUCCCAUUUUCAGGGACAUGGGUUAAAGGACUUUAUAAAGUGGAUAAAUGCUAGAACAUGGCCUUUAUUCCAGGCGGCCUGCUAAUAGAACCUGUGUUCUUGACUAGUACUCUACCACUCUCCAGUGUUUGUAUACUCCCCGAAUCCUGCCAAGGCUUGGACUCUAAGAAUACCUGCAAUGUGGUAAAAUAGAAACAUGGAAAUCAGGAUCAUGAAAAAAGGCACACAGAGUGGGAAAAUAACAUCAGGAGAGAAGAGAUUGCACAGAUCGUCGGAGAUAAGGAGUAGAGUUGGACUGCAAAUUUAGCUGCACAUUUUGUCAACCCAAGGAAAAAAAAAGAAGGAAGUUGCAUCGUUUUGUACAAGUAAAGAAGACUUUUGGUUUUGGUUUUGGUACUGGGGAUUGAACUCGGGCACUCGACCACUGAGCCACAUCCCCAGCCCUAUUUUGUACUUUAUUUAGAGACAGGGUCUCAUUGAGUUGCUUAGUGCCUUACUUAGGCUGGCUUUGAACUUGCUAUCCUCCUAAACAAAACCUUUUAGUUCCUCCUGGAAUAACAGUUCUGUGUUACCUAGAUCAAAGAGAACUUUCUCGUGGGGCUCAUCUCAGAGACUGGGAAGGGCCUGGGUUACAGGUGGGUGAGGGAAGUGGAGGCUUAGCGUUCCACUAUCAGGGAGUGUGUGGGCUACUGUGUUGGAACUGAAUAUUGAAAUUAAAGAUUCCUGAAUAAUCGUUUCCAGUAACGCCCUCUGAUUGCCUCCACUGUGGGACUUUGUGAACAGUGUUAUCCUGUCCCCUUGGUUGGUUCGGUCCUUUACUUGUUCAUUUCCUUAGCAGCGAUUCAUUGAGCGCUUGC